rnacentral:sRNA from 1 species
UGAGCUAAUCGGUCAGAAAUCAUGAAAACGUGCUUAACAAUUCCAAAGUCAA